rnacentral:snoRNA from 1 species
GCCUACGGGAGGGAGAGCGGCCUGGGGCGAGGUUGUGUGUGCGGUGCUGUGGCGGCGCGUGGAAGGCGCGUGUGGGCCGAGUGUGAGUGGAUGCGCGAGCGUGUGCGUGCGCGCGUGGGGCGUGCUAGGCGAGUGUGUGCGCCCGCCCCUGCGCCCCUCCCCCCGCCUACACCUUGAUCUUAUUUGAUCGGGUAGUGGCCCCAGCCCCGCCGGGCAGACCCGAAAUGAAAAGCUCUCCUCCUGCGAAGCCCCCUCUUCGGGGCGCUGUGCAGCGAGGCCUCUUGGGCGGCGGCAACGCCGUGGUCUCCGAGGUCCCGGAGCGGGUCCUGCGGGGCCGGCGCUCAGAAGUGAUGAAUUGAUCAGAUAGACGAGGCCGGGCUUGUCCCGGGCCGCUGAUUAUCGAGGCGAUUCUGAUCUGA